GGACUGGAUGCCAUCAUCAGAGACACUGGGGCCCACUGGGACUUAGCCCUGUGGGACAUCAAGGGGCUGUCACCUGCAGCCCUCACAGCCGCAGGCGAUUUCCAGAGGUCCGGGGGACAGCUGGGAAUAUCUUGUUCGUGGUCAUUUGGGGGAUGUUGGUUUGAUAUGGUUUGGUUCUUAACGCACCGUGGGGGAGACUGAAUCAUGAACUGGUUCUUCCAUUCUAGGAGGUUAUUGGAGGGAGUUUUUUUUUUUUUACUUCUGGAAAUGACAACCUGGAAGGACUCAUUAAAACAAUGCCUGGGGGUGAGGAAUGUUGAAGGAUGGGCCACUUUCAGUCAAGUUACCUGUCUUCACUUGGCGUUUCCAAACUUGCCUCAAAUACCUUGCCAAGGAAGUCUUAAGAUCGGAAAUCUUUUAGGUGAAAGUUAUCCCUCCCAUUCACAUUGGAUUAAGCAGAAAAGGGACUUUUUUUUUUUUUUUUCGGUGCAGGGAACCAGAAAAGUCCAAGGACCCUAGGAGCUGGUCUCAUGCCUUAUCCAUCCCUUCAUGGUGGCAAGAUGGCUGCCAACAGUUUCAGCCUCCAUCCCACCCUUUCAGAAAUCAAUACAAAGAAAGAAUACAUUUUUCCCCCCAGCAGUUUCCACAAAAGCUUUGGUGUGUAAAGUCCAUGAGGAUAGGGAUUUUUAUAUUUUGUUUACUGCCAUAUCCCUAGCUUCUGGAACAGUACCUGGUGUAUAGUAAGUGCUCAGUAAAUGUGCGAGUGAAUGAAGGAAGGAAGAAAGGAAGGAAGAAUCUCACUGGUGUGGCUAGUGAACCACAUGCCUCACUCACAUGCCUAGUUCAAGAGUUGGGGGAAUGGUUCCCAAAGCAAACUGGGGGUGCUGUUACCCAAUAUGAUGGGGCAUAGGCUGCUGGACAGAAGUCACCCAGCAUUUGAGUGGAGCUGUACCAAUGGUAUUGGAACCAUGUCGAGAGCAUUGGAGGAGCCUUCUAGCAAAACCAAAGUAGCAACUGAGUAUCAAUCAGCCUAAUAACCGGGCGAGCAGGAAUUCUAGCCGGCACGUGGAAUCCUAUACGUCCACAUUGCCUUGAUUGAAGAGUUCAGGUGAGAGUCUCCAAGGCUUAUCUUGUGACCGAAAUAAGAGCCUUAAAGUUGGCUGUUGAAAUCUUCUAGAAAAAUAAGACGACAUCUGGGCGUGUUCAUUCCACUGCAUCACUUAGGGACACGUGUACCCAGCAGCCCCUGGCUCACGGCUGCUUUUGGCCCAGGGUCACCAGGGGCUGCUGAAGGAUAUUCUUUUUUUUUUUUUUCCCCCCCCGAUGAAUACCAGAAUCAGGGGAGGCAAGAAGUGAACUAUAAUUGGAUUAGAAAGACAGCUUGGACUCGUAUAGUAGGCCGUUGUGGAGUCUUUUUGCCACUUGAAAAACCCUUUUGGACUGAAAGCGGUGACGUGAACUGUUUGAUUCCGUUUGCCUCCUGUUGUUGGAAGACAAAUGAAUCUCUGUGGCUGAAGGAGAGGCUGAGUCAAUAGACAUUUUCCCAGGGAAGCAGGUCGGGGCCGGUGCAGCAGCCCGGAGGUGCCGGAGGCCCGCGCGCCUUCCUCCGUGUUGCACCGCCUGCCUGUGCUGCCUGGUGGAAGAGGCUUUGGC